CUUUUCACUUGAGAGAAGCAGGGCAAGCCCCGCCCUCAGUUGUAGUUUCUCAUCUAUCUAAACAUAUGAUUCAGGAGCCAUGCCCCUGAGACACAAACUCCGCUUGUGCCUGAAUAUUACAGACAUCUCUGAACAGGGACUUUGGAGACCAGGGCAGCUCCUCUGAAUUUGACCCUUGGAGAUCAGAAAAUAAUCCCAGGGGGGAGAUUUCCAGAUGACAGCGGCAGAGAACUGGGGCCCAGACUAUGCAUUUUCCUUCUGAACUAUGUAAACUCUAUUUUAGCUGUUUAAAGGCACCUAUCACUGUGGUAUCUAAGCAAGUAUUGAACAGAAAGCAAGUCAGUUUCUGGCUGCUUUCCCUACAAUUUUGAAACUGAAAAGACUAUGUAGCAGUCAGUAGUUAGGCACAGCCCAAAGCAACUCAGCCAUAAGUCCCUUCCUAGCAGUUUUCCAUCUACUUUAUUGUGUUUGUACAGUGCCUAGCACAAGGGGGUCCAUGACUGGAGCGCCUAGGUACUCUGAUAACAGGGAAAAAAUGUUUGGGGGGAAAAAAGGACCAUUCUCUGGUUAACCAGCAGAUACUGAAGUCAUAUAACGCUCUCUGCACCCUUUGCUGCCAGUUGUAUUCCUGAAGGAUGCUGGAUGUGUUCAACUACCUUCUCACAUUCUGGCAGAGCGAUCUUCCAAAUUGUUUGUUGCUGAGACUCCACAAGCUAAACAAUCUGGCCAUGUCUUUCCCCAAAUUGAGCCCUAGCUGGUGGCCAGUGACCUACUGCUUGGUGAGGUCACUGCUGCCUGUACCACACUUCAAAAAAUUCUUAUUCAGAGUUUGCUUUUCUGAUUUUUAACCCCCUGCUGAUUUAUAUCCUAAAGCAAAUGUGUGACUAUUUCAGCUGCUCACCUAGGGCCCUCCAGUCUUUUCUACCUGGCAGGCUUGCUAGUUACCCUCCCUUCGCUGAAGGGAAAACAAUACAGUAUCAUCUAUCCUUCCCCUACCUAAUUUGUUUAAGAAAACCAAAAGUGACUGCUGCAGUUAAUUAAAAGGUACUGUCUGAUGUUUUCAAAAGAACGCUCCCCUGGCUUUCUUGCCGGAGGCAGGUAAAAUGGAUGUGACUGACAGCCUGGUUGCUGGUUGUGAGUUUUAGAGCAAAGAUGCAGUCUCAGCUCAUAUGAGUUGCCACAGGCGACCCUGCAGGUACAAUGUGGCACGAAGAAUGAAAUGACCUGGAGGAAACCGGUAAAGUCAUCUGAGCGUGGGUGGUUGUGUUUUAAUUAAAUCUAACCAAAAUUUUUCAGAUCUCAAAACCUCUUGGGUUCACUUCCAGUUAGAAGAAAAAUUGUGGAUGGCUUCUUGCUGUAACAACUAAUUUGCCCAUCCCUCACAACAAAAACCAAUGAGGGAGAUCGUUCCCAGAUCCAUUGUCUUGUUAUGUAAAAUGCUGGCAAUAGACUUAAAUAGACUAAGAAAAAAUCUAAUUUUCUUACCCAUAUGCUUAGGUACCCUGGUGUAUUUAAACUCAGCAGUGAAUUCCACCACUCAGAGUCCUAUUACAUAGUUCUUUGACCCAGACCAACCUUGUAUUUUUCUUUUCUCUGUUUUUUCUGAUGGCACUGUAAAUGGUUUUUGCGUGCUGCCAAAGUCAUGGUUCUAGUAACCUGUUUUUAUAUGCUCUCUCUUUAUUCUCCAAGUAAUCCAUCUGUAUCAGAACAAUCUUAACUCGACCACUAGGGUUUCACGUUGGGAUGAAUGUUGCACUACCACUUCUAAUGUAAAAUGCUUAUUUCUUUGUAAUUUGUUUAUUCUGUUAACAAAUGUAUCAUAAAGCAUCUUACUACAGUGAUCUGAUCAAGAUAAAUGCUAUAUUCCAAUAUUUUUAAAACUCACCUUCUGUUCACGAGUGUUCACAUUUUCAUUUUACUUUAAAAAUUCAGAAUUUUAAAAUGUCAAAAAGUGAAACAUUUUCACCCAGCUCUAUGGUUGAUUGAACAAUGGGGAAAAAUCUUAUGAAGGCUUUGUCAACCUUCUUUAUUUCAAAAUUUUGAAAAAUUGCAACUGGCUCCUAAAGCAAAAGUGUUUAAUAGAGCUGGUUAAAAAUUGUAAUGUUUUUCAAAAAAAAUGUGCAUCUAAUUUCAAAUGUUAACAUUUUUUUCAAACCAUUCUAUUCAAGUAUUGAAUAGAAAACAAGCCAAACACACCCACAACUUCAAACAGAGGUGGAAAAAUGAUGAUGGUGCUUAAAUAUAAUUUUUAAAAAAAUGACCAAAUUUUGUUUUCCAGUGAGAUCCUCUACCUCAUAUUUUAGCAUCUUUCAGAAGGACAAAUGUGAGAGGUGAUGUGAAGUUUCUUUUAAUGGCAAUUAG